GAGGCCAUGAAGCCGCAGCCGCCCGGCUAGGCCCCGGGCGGCUCUAGCCCAGGGCGGCCCGCGGGGCGCUGGGCCUGGCUCCCGGCUCCGGUUUCCGGGCCGGCGGGUGGCAGCUCACCAUGCCAGGCAAGCACCAGCAUUUCCAGGAACCCGAGGUCGGCUGCUGCGGGAAAUACUUCCUGUUUGGCUUCAACAUUGUCUUCUGGGUGCUGGGAGCCCUGUUCCUGGCUAUCGGUCUCUGGGCCUGGGGUGAGAAGGGCGUUCUCUCCAACAUCUCAGCGCUGACAGAUCUGGGAGGCCUUGACCCCGUGUGGCUGUUUGUGGUAGUUGGAGGCGUCAUGUCGGUGCUGGGCUUUGCUGGCUGCAUCGGGGCCCUCCGGGAGAACACCUUCCUGCUGAAGUUUUUCUCCGUGUUCCUCGGUCUCAUCUUCUUCCUGGAGCUGGCAACAGGGAUCCUGGCCUUUGUCUUCAAGGACUGGAUUCGAGACCAGCUCAACCUCUUCAUCAACAACAACGUCAAGGCCUACCGGGACGACAUUGACCUGCAGAACCUCAUUGACUUUGCUCAGGAAUACGUGAGUCCAGUGUCCAGCCUGGGACACCUGCAGGAGGCACCUUCCUGGCAGACGAAUGAGGGAGCAAGUUCCCUGUGAUGGGACCAUCUCCUUACCCACCUGGGCUAGUGGGCCCCAGGAGAGAGACCCAGGAGUGUCCUCGUCCGAGGAGAGCCAGCCCCUGGUGAUCCUUUUGGGUCCCCAUUUGCCUAGUGCCAUAGGGCCACAGCCUUGGGAAACAGAGGGCAUGGGCUCCAUGCGGGCAGCUCCCAGGCCAGGGCCUACGACACACGGGAGAACGGAGGAAAAGUGACAUAAAAAUAUAGAUUUCUACUUCUGCUAAACCUUGGGCCCACGGUGUCGGCCGGAGCUAUGUUGCUGCCGCUCUUUUACUGGUACAGACGCUCUCUGUUUGCCAUUGUUCCCAAUACUCUGUAUUUUAUUAUAUCUGUCAGCCCUUAUCCCUCAUUUAUACUAUGUUUGGCCUCUGUGCAUAUGAGAGUUUAGACCCCUGACAGAAAAUCUGCCCUCAAGCUUGCAAACUUAACCCCAGUGAAGAGCAGCCGGAGAAGAGUUCCCGAAACCCUAUCUGCUCCCACCUGCACCAUCUCACCCACUCACCCCUAACCACAAACACACAGUCACACACUGUCACCCACAGUCACACCCACACCCAGUCACACACUCACAGGCACACUUGAUCACACCUACACCUACACAUGGUCCCACAGUCACACAUGAGUCACACCCGAUCACACCCACACACGGCGACGGGCCCUUGGCGCCAUUCACCACCAAGAGUCAGCUCUGGAUCCAGAGGUGAAGCAGAGCUGGUGCCUGCUUCAAGCAGCUCUCAACCCAGGGCAGAGGCAGACAUAGCCAGGCAGUUAUGAUGCAGUUCAUUCAUUCAUUCAGCACAGGAUUGUUAAGGGCCUACCAUAUGCCGGACCCAGAGUCAGGCCCUGGGGAUUCGGUGGGGAAGAAAGCUGGGACCUGUCCUCUCAGGGAUGGCAGUCGGGAAGAGACAGAUGGUGAACAAGCAGAACAAACAAAUGUGUGCAUGUACACACGUGUGUGUGCAAAAUUGUGUGUUGUGGUAAGAGUCAAAAUGAAGGGUGGAGAAUGGGAAGGCCUCUGCGUGGAGAGCUUGAAGCCUCCCAAAGGAGGAGAAGGAAGAGAAGGGAGAGUGUUCUGUAGCAGGAGCAGCUGGCGCUGAGCAGGUGCCAGGAGGCAGGUGGAGGCUGAGCCCUGCCGUGGGACCAGCACAUGCAGGGCAUGUGGCAGGCCUGGCUCCUCUAGCUCUCUGGCUCGGCCACGGGGCCUGCCUGUGUCUGCUGCGGAGCUUGAGCUCCCCCAGCCCUGUGGGCUGUUCUCCAGCCCCUGUGCUGCUGCUCAGUGAAGGCUGUGUGCACCCGUGUGCCCCACAAGACCACGGUUCACAGCAGAUCCCUACCUCGCCAUUGCUCCUGCCUAGGGACAGCUUAGGGUGCUCUGGGUGGAGGGUGAUGGGGUGUGGGAUGAUGCCAGCCGGCAUGGAGGAAAUGGGGUGGGAUGGCUAUGGGGGUGGCAGGAUUCCCCUCCUGUCCCUGCACUGAAGACAGGAGGGCUUUGUAGAACCUCUGGGGCAAGUGUGGGAGGCCUGCUGCAGACAUGGGGCCCAGCGGUCUCUGCUGCCACAGGGCUUGGCCCAGCACCUGCCUCUUAGGUAGUCUGGAGGAAGCCACAGUCGUUGAACCAGUAUCCUUGUCCCACUCCCUCCCUUUUUCUAGCCUCUCUUGGGUCGGGGAGGGGGAAGCUCAGUGUCCCCUCCCUUGCACCCCUCUGCCUCCACCAGCCUGGAGGUUGGGCCCAGGCCUGUAGGGGUCAGGAGGUGGCCACCCACUUGGCUGUCCCAGCCCCGUCCCAGAUAGCCCUGUCUUCCUGCAGCCUGGGCUUGUUCCCAAACAGGGUGAGGCUCCUGGGGUGGGCCUGGCUCACCUGGGGCUCUCCCCUGCCCCCACAGUGGUCUUGCUGCGGAGCCCGAGGCCCCAACGACUGGAACCUCAAUAUCUACUUCAACUGCACUGACUUGAACCCCAGCCGGGAGCGCUGCGGGGUGCCCUUCUCCUGCUGCGUCAGGGACCCUGCGGAGGAUGUCCUCAACACCCAGUGUGGCUACGACGUCCGACUCAAACUGGAGCUGGAGCAGCAGGGCUUCAUCCACACCAAAGGCUGCGUGGGCCAGUUUGAGAAGUGGCUGCAGGACAACCUGAUUGUGGUGGCGGGAGUCUUCAUGGGCAUCGCCCUCCUCCAGGUACCCUUGUGGCCCCACGUGCCCCUCCCCUUGCCUGGGCCGCCCUCGCUCUCCCCUCACCUGUCCUCUGUCUUACAGAUCUUUGGCAUCUGCCUGGCCCAGAACCUCGUGAGUGACAUCAAGGCAGUGAAAGCCAACUGGAGCAAAUGGAAUGAUGACUUUGAAAACCACUGGCUUACGCCCACCAUUUCCGAGGUCCUGUCCACGGUGGGGCCUCAGCAGAACUCUCUGAUUGGGGUCCCUGGCCCGGCCCCACCCAGCCGACAUGUUUUCUUUGGCCUGGGUGGUUUAUACCCUGAGCCAACCUUUAAAAAUUGGUAGAUUUCACAUAAAAGUCCAGAUCCACAACUUCUCUUGAAGAAUGACCACCUGGCUACACCGGCUCUUCAGUGGCAACACUACCUGGGACACUGCCUCCCCAGUCUCCGAGGGCCCCAGCUGGCCCGUUCUACUCACCUAAGUGCCGCCUGACCCUUGUACACUAGGAGCUGGCCUCCCACCUCUGCAGGGUUAUUCCCUGCACCUCGAGGCUGCUGCAGGCCAACCUGGAGUGAAACACAGGGACCUGAAGGAUGGGGAGGCUGGACCCCGCUCUGAAGAGGGUGCAGCCUGGGAAGGGCGGCCUUGCUGGGGACUGCGGUGGGAGUAGAGUGCCCAGGAGAGGGUCUGAGGGGUGGGAUGGGGUCAGGACAAUUUUGCAAAAGAAGUAGCUGGAAGCCAUGGGACUGGCGGGAGCCUGUUUGGGGGAUCUGGAUGGUUGACUCCUAGGAAUCAAGUUCAGCAUCUUUGCCAUGGCUGCAGAGCUGCCUGAUGGGCACUAGAGGGCAUGCCAGCCCCACACUCCCUGGGUCUGGCUUCCUCCCGCAACCUCACUCUAGUAGAGCCUGUGCCUGCCUACUAGCGCUCUGGGGUUCCGAGAGUUUGGGAAUUUCUCAGAGCCAACUGGCUCAGGCUUGGGAAGGCUGGCUGCUGCCCUCAGCUCCGCCUCAUCAGCUAUGUGAAGGGGUAUGUGUGGAGUGAUCCCGCCGCCCCCUCCCUGGGCUCAUCCAGAGAUCUCAAACUCCGAUGCCCCUGGGGCCACGUAGGUUGUAUAAAUGGAUGAAACAGGCCCUUGAGUUGGGAUCCUGCUUCACUUUGACUUUCCCACUGUUCCUGGAGACAAAGACAUCGUGAUGAGAGAGAGUUCGCACAAUCUAGUCGGUAACAGCCACUUUCCUUGAGACCAAUAGAAUGUGGUGGGGAUGGAGGAGAGCACGGGUCCCCGUCUGACAGUGGCUGCUGUCAUAUUCAGGUGUAGCUAAUUGCUCUGGUGUGGGAAUGCAGGCCUAAUGCCAGAAAUCUGGAGAAGCCGGAAAUACAGAUUUGUAUGUGAGAUGUCCUGAAUUUUUAAGUUGUUGGCAGAAAUUAAUUCAGAAAUCAAAUCUGCAGGUCAAACAAGGUGCAGGGCCCAGCUUUGGCCCCAUGCCCCUGUAGGUCCCUCUGGGACAGUCACCGCUGGGGUCCUGGCUGCUCUGUCAUUGAGGGAUGCUGGGCACUGCUGCCGGGUGGCCAGGGUGUGGGGCAUGCGCCCAGCAAUGUGGCUCCUUGGCCCCGCUGGACAGUGUCCUGGGCCCCCGACAGGCGCUGGCUGGGAGUGGUUUGUACAUGCUACAAUAAAUGCAGCUUGCAGCAUU
rnacentral:sRNA from 1 species